UACGAAGGGGGCUAGCGUUGCUCGGAAUCACUGGGCGUAAAGCGCACGUAGGCGGCUUUCUAAGUCAGGGGUGAAAUCCUGGAGCUCAACUCCAGAACUGCCUUUGAUACUGGAGAGCUUGAGUCCGGAAGAGGUGAGUGGAACUCCGAGUGUAGAGGUGAAAUUCGUAGAUAUUCGGAAGAACACCAGUGGCGAAGGCGGCUCACUGGCCCGAUACUGACGCUGAGGCACGAAAGCGUGGGGAGCAAACAGG
rnacentral:rRNA from 1 species